rnacentral:rRNA from 1 species
GACGUAGGGCGCGAGCGUUGUCCGGAUUUAUUGGGCGUAAAGAGCUCGUAGGCGGCUUGUCACGUCGGGUGUGAAAGCCCGGGGCUUAACCCCGGGUCUGCAUUCGAUACGGGCAGGCUAGAGUUCGGUAGGGGAGAUCGGAAUUCCUGGUGUAGCGGUGAAAUGCGCAGAUAUCAGGAGGAACACCGGUGGCGAAGGCGACAUCCUGGACCGGUAUUGACGCUGAGGCGCGAAAGCCAGGGGAGCAAACGGG